rnacentral:rRNA from 1 species
GAUAGAUCGCUACUCGUGCAGCAGCGCGGUAAUACGAAGAUCCAAGCGUAUCGGAUCAUGGGUUUAAAGGGUGCGUAGGCGGCUACGUAAGUCAGCGUGAAAGGCUGGGGCUCAACCCUAGCAGUGCCGUUGAUACUGCGUAGCUUGAGUACAGAUGAAGUUGGCGGAAUGUGCAGUGUAGCGGUGAAAUGCAUAGAUAUUGCACAGAAGGCCGAUUGCGAAGGCAGCUGACUAAGCUGGAACUGACGCUGAGGCACGAAAGCGUGGGGAUCAAACAGGAUUAGAUACCCUGGUAGUCCACGCCGUAAACGAUGAUAGCUCGCUGCCGGCGAUAUACCGUCGGUGGCCAAGUGAAAACGUUAAGCUAUCCACCUGGGGAGUACGUUCGCAAGAAUGAAACUCAAAGGAAUUGACGGGGGCCCGCACAAGCGGAGGAACAUGUGGUUUAAUUCGAUGAUACGCGAGGAACCUUACCCGGGCUCGAACGGCUAAUGAAUGUGGGGGAAACUUCACAGCUAGCAAUAGCAUUAGUCGAGGUGCUGCAUGGUUGUCGUCAGCUCGUGCCGUGAGGUGUCGGCUUAAGUGCCAUAACGAGCGCAACCCCUAUCUUCAGUUGCCAGCGGGUCAUGCCGGGGACUCUGGAGAGACUGCCAGCGUAAGCUGUGAGGAAGGUGGGGAUGACGUCAAAUCAGCACGGCCCUUACGUCCGGGGCGACACACGUGUUACAAUGGGUGGUACAGAGGGCCGCUACCAUGCGAAUGGAUGCCAAUCUCAAAAGCCACUCCCAGUUCGGAUCGGAGUCUGCAACUCGACUCCGUGAAGUUGGAUUCGCUAGUAAUCGCGCAUCAGCCACGGCGCGGUGAAUACGUUCCCGGGCCUUGUACACACCGCCCGUCAAGCCAUGGGAGCUGGGGGUACCUGAAGUGCGUUACCGCAAGGAGCGCCCUAGGGUAAAACCGGUGACUAGGGCUAAGUCGUAACAAGGUA